rnacentral:SRP_RNA from 1 species
GUCACAAGCUCAGUAACGCGAGCUUGUGACCCGAGUGGGGGCUGUGAAUGGGUGCGGACCUUUGGUGGGACCGCUGGGCCAGGGCUCUUGUUUGUGCAGUUGAUUGGCGCGCCCGUUCCAAGUUGAGCAGUGGGUCACGUGGUCCCGGGCGAAGGCCUGGUUCCAGUGGGCCCUAAAGUGGAGGGGACUGCGUGAGGCUGGUUUCACAGAGCAGCGAACACCUCCCGCUCUCAACGGUGGAAGGAUUACGGGCCAACGCACUCUGAGCCCAACAAUGGCCCACCGGCCUACUCCAACGAACCGCCCAUCUU